AUAAUAAUAUAGUAAUAUUAUUUUAUAUUGCGAUUUUGUAUAAACAAAUAAUUUGUUAAACAAAUAAUUUGUUAAUCAAAAAGGCCAGUGCCAAAAUAGCAAGUACCAAAACAUUUUAGACUGUUAUUCCAUAGCUUUUCAUGUAGAGAAAACUCAGCUGGCAGUGAUAUUUAUUAUUAACUAGAUUGAAAUAAGAAGGGAAUCAUUUUUAGUGGUGGACAUUAUAUCUAGGUAUCGCUAAGUUGUGAUCAUAUACUAACAUAUUUAGCCAUGGAAAUAACUACUAGUCAGAACAAGAAACAUAUCCUUAUAGGAUAUAAGAAUUUUAUUUGAUUUUAAAUGUUUUUUUUUUACUUUUUGUCUGUGCAACUUUUCUACUAGCAAUUUUGCUCCAAUCAUUAACUUCAGUG